GCAAUUCAGUGAGAAAAGAAUAGUCUUCAAUAGUUGGUGCUGAACAAUUGGGCAAUUUUAUACACAUACACACAUAUGUACAACUGUCUAAUUUUUCAGUGUAUGUAAAUAUGCAUAUCUUUUAAAAAGAUCCUUGACUCAUGCUUCCCACACUUUCAAAAAGUAACUCAAGAUAGAUUAUAGACCUAAAUGUAAAACCUAGGACUAGGAAAUUUCUAUAAGAAAACAUAAGAGAAAAUCUUUGUGGUCUUUGGUUUGGCAAACAUUUCUUGUAUUUGAUAACAAAAGCACAAUUCAUAAAAGAAAAUAUUAUAAAUUGACUCCACCAAAAUUAGUAACUUUUCCUCCUCAAAAAACACUCUCAGUAAAAUGAAAAUUUGACCUACAAAUUGGGAAAAAUAUUUACAAAAUAUCUAACACUGGACUUAUAGCUAGAAUAUAUGCAGAAUUCAUACCAAUAGACAAAAAGACAACCUAUUAAAAUAAGCGAAUGAUUUGAACAGACAAUUCAUCAAAGAAAACAUAUGCAUGGCAAGUAACUACACAAAAUGAUGCUCAUCAUUAUUAGUCAUUAAAACCACAGUGAGACAUACUGCACUAUUAUAAUAGUUAAAAAAAAACAAAACAAACCAAAAUAAGAAACCUUGACGGUAAAAACUACUGAACAGCAAGUGCUAGCAAGGAGCAGAGCAGAGUGGCUGGAACUGAUUAGCACUGCUGGUGGGAAGGAAGGAAAGCAUGAAAACAGGGAGGAAGGAGAGAAGGAAGAAAGUUGGUUCAUUGGUUGGAGUAACCUUACCAGCAGGGUUUAAAGGGACCUUACUGGAAUCUACUUAAGAAAGCCAUGGCAACAUCCCCCGAUGGCAGCAUCUGUGAGGCUCUUAAAGAGUCAGAACAGACAUUUUUGAAGUGGC
rnacentral:lncRNA from 10 species